AUUGAACGCUGGCGGCAGGCCUAACACAUGCAAGUCGAGCGGAGCGGCGGACGGGCGAGUAAUGCCUAGGAAUCUGCCUGGUAGUGGGGGAUAACGUCCGGAAACGGGCGCUAAUACCGCAUACUUGCAGUUGAGUCUAGGUGGGAUUAGCUAGUUGGUGGGGGAAAGGCCUACCAAGGUGACGAUCCGUAACUGGUCUGAGAGGAUGAUCAGUCACACUGGAACUGAGACACGGUCCAGACUCCUACGGGAGGCAGCAGUGGGGAAUAUUGGACAAUGGGCGAAAGCCUGAUCCAGCCAUGCCGAGUGUGUGAAGAAGGUCUUCGGAUUGUAAAGCACUUUAAGUUGGGAGGCGUUACCAACAGAAUAAGCACCGGCUAACUUCGUGCCAGCAGCCGCGGUAAUAC
rnacentral:rRNA from 1 species